UACGUAGGGGGCGAGCGUUGUCCGGAUUUAUUGGGCGUAAAGGGCGUGUAGGCGGCCUGGUAAGUCGGGGGUGAAAACCCAGGGCUCAACCCUGGGACUGCCUUCGAUACUGCUAGGCUUGAGUGCUCUAGAGGGUAGUGGAAUUGCCGGUGUAGCAGUGAAAUGCGUAGAGAUCGGCAGGAACACCAGUGGCGAAGGCGACUGCCUGGGGAGUAACUGACGCUGAGGCGCGAAAGCUGGGGGAGCAAACGGG
rnacentral:rRNA from 1 species